rnacentral:rRNA from 1 species
CACGUAGGGGGCGAGCGUUGUCCGGAUUCAUUGGGCGUAAAGAGCUCGUAGGCGGCUCAGCAAGUCGGGUGUGAAACCUCCAGGCUCAACCUGGAGACGCCACUCGAUACUGCUGUGGCUAGAGUCCAGUAGGGGAGCGUGGAAUUCCUGGUGUAGCGGUGAAAUGCGCAGAUAUCAGGAGGAACACCAGCGGCGAAGGCGGCGCUCUGGGCUGGAACUGACGCUGAGGAGCGAAAGCGUGGGGAGCAAACAGG